rnacentral:lncRNA from 1 species
AACCUUUUCCUGACACAUAAACCUCUUGUUCCUUUUCUUCAUCUUCAACUUUGUUCACUAUUUCUUUCUCAUUUGUUGUUUCUUUUACCUCUUCGCUAUAUUCAACUUUCUCUGAACUGGUCUCUUCACAUACUUCAUUGACUGGGGAGCUGUCAACAUUUUCCUUUUGACCAUUAUCACUCUGAAUAGGCUCGUCACUUUUUACUUCAUGUUCUUCACUUUCUACCUGAGAUUUUGUUUGUGAUGUGAUGCAAUCAUCAUGCAACAGUUCUUGCUGCUUGGUUUCAACACUUGGUUUGAUUUCUUUAGUAUCUUCCUCUUGCUCAAUCUCUGAACAAGAUUGAACAGUUUUGUUGUCGCUUUCAUCAGGCUUUUGUUCUGUUUUGUCCUAUUAGAGAAAAAGUAUUCAGUUAGAUAUGAUGAUUUAUAUAAAUAGGCUCAAAGUUUUUAAAAACAAUCUCUGUGGUAGGUUUUUUUCAUUGUUCUUUUUUAAGAUAAUUGUGAGUGACAGUUGUUCUUUAUAACAUUAACAUGAUUCUACAUUGCUUAGUAAUAAAACAUUAAAAGUUUUAGUAGGAAAGAUAUACAAGUAAAACCUUUUGGAUUGUUCAGAGUUAACAUGGGAUGAACACGAAUUACCUCUUGAGCAUCAAUUGCACUCUGAUUCGGCUCCUCGAACUCGAUAUCAGCCACUGGGGUAGCCUUUUGACCAAUUAUUGUUUCUUUUAUAUCCUCGCUGGAUGCAUUCUGUGAGCUUGUAACAUCAUCUCCACCACCUUGGACUUCUUUUGACAUUUUAAUCUCUUGUUCCUUUUCUUGAUUUUCCUCAUUGUUCACUAUUUCAUUCUCAUUCAAUUCAGAUUCAGCCUUCUCUGAGCUUGUUGCUUCACAUACUUCCUUCACCAAGGGGCUUUCAGACUUAUCUGUUUGACCAUCAUCAUUCACCAAUGCCUCUUCAUCAAUCUUUAUAUCAUCUUUUGUUUCGGCACUAGAUUUGAUUUCUUCAGUAUCUUCCUCUAAAUACUCUCUAGGUUUGACAAAUUCGGGUUCCUUACCUUCAUCAUCAUAUUUUGUUUCUGGUAAGUCCUGUAUAGAAGUUGCAUCUUGUGAGAAAGUGACAUCAUCUUUUCCUUGGUCUUCUUCUGAAAUGAUGGACUCUUGUUCUUGUUCUUGUUCUUUUUCUUUUUCUUGAUGUUCAUCUUUGUCAGAAGGUUCUACCCCUUCAAAUUUACCCUUCUCUAAGUGAGUUUCUUCACAUACUUCAGUCACAUCUUCAUCGUCUGUAAUCUUUACCUGCUCCUUUUCAUCUGUUUCCACACUUGGCUUGAUUUCUUCAGCAUUUUCAUUUUUGUUGACACUUUCCUCGGGCUUUUGUUCUAUUUUUUCAUUUGCUCCACUCUCAUCCUGCUCACUUGCCUAUAUGAACACAAGUAUUUUGAGUACAUGUGGAGAAUAAAAGUAACACAUCAUGAUAAGUCUAAUGCAUAGUCAAACUUUUAAAACAAUCUUUGUGGCAGCUUCAAAAAAAUUUGUGAGCCAAAUUUGCUAUAAACUACUUUAUAGAAUGGUUUUCUCUAAACAUUUAUCGUUUUAUGAACUCUAACUCUUCUCAACAAAUGAAACUAAACGUUUGGAUGAGACAAGCAUUUGACAUUAAAAUUAUGUAUGAAAAUCAUAAUAUUGUCUUAUACUUUUAUAAAUUAAACAUAAAACUAGUAAGAAUUAGCCUUAACAUUUAACAAUACAUUAGUAUAAUAUGUGAUUUUUAGUUUCUCUUACACAUGAGAUAAGAAAAUAUGUAGCAGACAACAACAUUUCCAUAUGUCAUAAUGAUUAUAGCAUUUCAAAUUCUAGUAAGACUGAUCUACAAUUAAAACUGUAAAACCUUUUAGGAAUAGUUAGGUUUACUUAGAAUGAACAUGAAUUACCUCUUGCACAUCAGUUGAUUUGUCCUCUGCUUCUUCCUUAAGGAUCUCCUUAGGCGUUGAGUUUAGAGCCUGUUCCUCCUCUAAAUAGGCCACUGUAGUAACAUGCUCACCAGUUGUUGUUUCUUUUAUAUCCUCAAAUGUUGCAUCUUGUGAACUUGUAACAUCAUCCCCUAAACCUUUUCCUGACACAUAAACCUCUUGUUCCUUUUCUUCAUCUUCAACUUUGCUUGCUAUUUCGUUUUCAUUCAGAUCGAUAUUAACACUGUCAGAAAGUUUUAACCCUUCUUCAGAUUCAACCUUCUCUGAGACAGUCUCUUCACAUACUUCCUUCACCAUGGUCUCUGUAUUAGAACUAUCAGAGUAGUUCACCUCUUCUUUAUAUUCAAUUUUCUCUGAACUAGCCUCUUCACAUACUUCAACACUUGGUUUGGUUUCUUCAGUAUCUUUCUCUUGCUCAAUUUCU